rnacentral:tRNA from 1 species
UGGGGCGUAGCCAAGCGGUAAGGCAGAGGACUUUGAAUCCUCCAUUGCGUAGGUUCGAAUCCUACCGCCCCAGCCA